rnacentral:rRNA from 1 species
GCUUGCUUGUUGGGGUUGUAGGACACUCUAUACGGAGUUACAAAGGACGACAUUAGACGAAUCAUCUGGAAAGAUGAAUCAAAGAAGGUAAUAAUCCUGUAGUCGAAAAUGUUGUCUCUCUUGAGUGGAUCCUGAGUACGACGGAGCACGUGAAAUUCCGUCGGAAUCUGGGAGGACCAUCUCCUAAGGCUAAAUACUCUCUAGUGACCGAUAGUGAACCAGUACCGUGAGGGAAAGGUGAAAAGCACCCCGGAAGGGGAGUGAAAUAGAACCUGAAACCGUGUGCUUACAAGUAGUCAGAGCCCGUUAAUGGGUGAUGGCGUGCCUUUUGUAGAAUGAACCGGCGAGUUACGAUUUGAUGCAAGGUUAAGCAGUAAAUGUGGAGCCGUAGCGAAAGCGAGUCUGAAUAGGGCGUUUAGUAUUUGGUCGUAGACCCGAAACCAGGUGAUCUACCCUUGGUCAGGUUGAAGUUCAGGUAACACUGAAUGGAGGACCGAACCGACUUACGUUGAAAAGUGAGCGGAUGAACUGAGGGUAGCGGAGAAAUUCCAAUCGAACCUGGAGAUAGCUGGUUCUCUCCGAAAUAGCUUUAGGGCUAGCCUCAAGUGAUGAUUAUUGGAGGUAGAGCACUGUUUGGACGAGGGGCCCCUCUCGGGUUACCGAAUUCAGACAAACUCCGAAUGCCAAUUAAUUUAACUUGGGAGUCAGAACAUGGGUGAUAAGGUCCGUGUUCGAAAGGGAAACAGCCCAGACCACCAGCUAAGGUCCCAAAAUAUAUGUUAAGUGGAAAAGGAUGUGGCGUUGCCCAGACAACUAGGAUGUUGGCUUAGAAGCAGCCAUCAUUUAAAGAGUGCGUAAUAGCUCACUAGUCGAGUGACACUGCGCCGAAAAUGUACCGGGGCUAAACAUAUUACCGAAGCUGUGGAUUGUCCUUUGGACAAUGGUAGGAGAGCGUUCUAAGGGCGUUGAAGCAUGAUCGUAAGGACAUGUGGAGCGCUUAGAAGUGAGAAUGCCGGUGUGAGUAGCGAAAGACGGGUGAGAAUCCCGUCCACCGAUUGACUAAGGUUUCCAGAGGAAGGCUCGUCCGCUCUGGGUUAGUCGGGUCCUAAGCUGAGGCCGACAGGCGUAGGCGAUGGAUAACAGGUUGAUAUUCCUGUACCACCUAUAAUCGUUUUAAUCGAUGGGGGGACGCAGUAGGAUAGGCGAAGCGUGCGAUUGGAUUGCACGUCUAAGCAGUAAGGCUGAGU